rnacentral:rRNA from 1 species
CCUACGGGGAGCUGCAGUGGGGGAUAUUGCACAAUGGGGGAAACCCUGAUGCAGCGACGCCGCGUGUGGGAAGACGGUCUUCUGGAUUGUAAACCACUGUCCCCAGGGACGAAAAUGACGGUACCUGGGGAGGAAGCUCCGGCUAACUACGUGCCAGCAGCCGCGGUAAUACGUAGGGAGCAAGCGUUGUCCGGAAUUACUGGGUGUAAAGGGAGCGUAGGCGGGGAGGCAAGUUGGGUGUCAAAACUACCGGCUCAACCGAUAGUCGCACUCAAAACUGCAACUCUUGAGUGAAGUAGAGGCAGGCGGAAUUCCUAGUGUAGCGGUGAAAUGCGUAGAUAUUAGGAGGAACACCAGUGGCGAAGGCGGCCUGCUGGGCUUUUACUGACGCUGAGGCUCGAAAGUGUGGGGAGCAAACAGGAUUAGAUACCCGUGUAGUC